rnacentral:rRNA from 1 species
UACGGAGGAUGCAAGCGUUAUCCGGAAUGAUUGGGCGUAAAGCGUCCGCAGGUGGCAAUGUAAGUCUGCUGUCAAAGCGUCUGGCUCAACCAGAUAAAGGCAGUGGAAACUACAUAGCUAGAGUAAGGUAGGGGUAGAGGGAAUUCCUGGUGUAGCGGUGAAAUGCGCAGAUAUCAGGAGGAACACCAGUGGCGAAGGCGACUACCUGGCCUGUUCUUGACGCUGAGGCGCGAAAGCUGGGGGAGCAAACGGG